ACGGAUCUCUGGCUUUCGCAUCGAUGAAGAACGCAGCGAACGUGCGAAACGUAAUGUGAAUUGCAGAAUUCAGUGAAUCAUCGAAUCUUUGAACGCAUCUUGCGCUCCUUGGUAUUCCGAGGAGCAUGCCUGUUUGAGUGUCGUGAAAUACUCUCAAUUUCAAUCUUUUUGUUUGAAAUUGGAUUUGGGCAUUGUUGUGAAUUCACGACUUGCCCUAAAUGCAUUAGCGAUCCUGUCUCUGAUCACACAAUGUGAUAAUAAAAAAACAUUGUUACAGUCGAGUCAAGGUUGCUUCUAACUGUCUGUCACCAGACAACCAUUACAUGUCAUUUGACCUCAAAUCAGGUAGGACUACCCGCUGAACUUAAGCAUAUCAAUAAGCGGAGGAAAAGAAACUAACAAGGAUUCCCCUAGUAACGGCGAGUGAAGAGGGAAGAGCUCAAAUUUGAAAUCUGGCGGCCUACGGUCGUCCGAGUUGUAAUCUAGAGAAGCGUCUUCCGUGC
rnacentral:rRNA from 1 species